ACUCUUGACCAAGAAAUACAUCUCUUGAGAGUAAAAUUAAAUGACCAAUACUAGGAAGUGCGUAUCCUAAGAAUUAAAGUGAGGAAUUCUAACUAGAAAGUGUGUCUUCUAGAGAUAAAAGUUUAAGUUAAAAAGUGUGUCACCUGAUAAAUGAAAACUAACAAGGAAGUGCAUCUCCUAAGGUUCAAGUGUAAUGACUCGACUAGAAAGUGUAUUUUCUAGAAAUCAAGGGACUGACUCGACUA
rnacentral:lncRNA from 1 species